rnacentral:rRNA from 1 species
GAUGAACGCUGGCGGCGUGCCUAAUACAUGCAAGUCGAGCGAACGGACGAGAAGCUUGCUUCUCUGAUGUUAGCGGCGGACGGGUGAGUAACACGUGGAUAACCUACCUAUAAGACUGGGAUAACUUCGGGAAACCGGAGCUAAUACCGGAUGAUAUUUUGAACCGCAUGGUUCAAAAGUGAAAGACGGUCUUGCUGUCACUUAUAGAUGGAUCCGCGCUGCAUUAGCUAGUUGGUAAGGUAACGGCUUACCAAGGCAACGAUGCAUAGCCGACCUGAGAGGAUGAUCGGCCACACUGGAACUGAGACACGGUCCAGACUCCUACGGGAGGCAGCAUUAGGGAAUCUUCCGCAAUGGGCGAAAGCCUGACGGAGCAACGCCGCGUGAGUGAUGAAGGUCUUCGGAUCGUAAAACUCUGUUAUUAGGGAAGAACAUAUGUGUAAGUAACUGUGCACAUCUUGACGGUACCUAAUCAGAAAGCCACGGCUAACUACGUG